rnacentral:lncRNA from 1 species
GGUCAGAGUAGCCUCCCUGGCAGGUCCUGGGUCCACACCAUCCACCUCCUCAGGAUCACGUCCAUCUCUUAUUGAACCUGCUUUGUGACUUAGACUUCCUCAUGGGAGUUGUCUACACUGAAGGAUGAUGAUGAUGAUGCUAUGAGAAACGGGGAGAGCAGAAGGAGACAACUGAGGAAAGUCCUUUUGAGAAUCCAAAUGCAAGCUGGAGGCUGGUUGGUGAGUAGA